GCUUUUUCACCUUUCUCUUUCCGACAACAAAAACCAGACAACCUCAAAUAGAGAAACAGCUGCUUCAUUUCCUUUUGUUUCGCCAGUUAUACCCACCAUCAAAACCUUAAACCUGUUACAGUAAUGGCUGCCGUGAGCUUCUAUGAUCAACCUGCCUUUGUUCUUUCAAGAGGCACCCUCUCUCCACACCUUUGUAAAUCAAAUCUCAUUUUCAUGGAUUCACAGUUAAGAGGCAGAGUACAAUGUAGCUCUGUUUCUCCCUGUUUAAACUAAAACCGCCCCUUUUCCUCAAAGGCAGACAGGAUGAACCAGGCAAAUUUAAAUAUUAUACAUAUAUGAACCAGGCAGACAGGAGGAGCAUACUGUUCACCAUCAAUCAUGGCUAUUCAUUAUCAUACAUUGAAAUGCAGAGGAAGAAGACAAUGGGAUUGAGAAGCAGUUUUAAUAAAAUUGUUAUUAGUGUUCCCCCCCCCCACAUGUAUGUGAAAUGUUGAGUCUGUUUUAAUGUAUUUAAUGGCCAUGAUGGUGAUGGUGUAUGCUUUUUUCCCCAAUUUUCCAUAGACUGACUAUGUUCCUUACAAAUAUAGAUAUAUAGUAGCUUUGUUUCUGA
rnacentral:lncRNA from 1 species